rnacentral:rRNA from 1 species
GAUGAACGCUGGCGGCGUGCCUAAUACAUGCAAGUCGAGCGAACGGACGAGAAUCUUGCUUCUCUGAUGUUAGCGGCGGACGGGAGAGUAACACGUGUAUAACCUACCUAUAAGACUGGGAUAACUUCGGGAAACCGUAGCUAAUACCGGAUAAUAUUUUGAACCGCAUGGUUCAAAAGUGAAAGACGGUCUUUCUGUCACUUAUAGAUGGUUCCGCGCUGCAUUAGCUAGUUGGUAAGGUAACGGUGUACCAAGGCAACGAUGCAUAGCCGACCUGAGAGAGUGAUCGCACGCACUGGAACUGGAACGCGGUCCGGGGUCCUACGGGACGCACCAGUAGGCAAUCUUCCGAAGUGGUCGACAGCAUGACGGAACACCGCGGCGUCAGUGAUAAAAGUCUACGGAUCGUAAAACUCUGUUAUGAGGGGAGAACAUAUGUGUAAUUAACUGUGCACAUCUUGACGGUAACCAAUCAGAAAGCAACGGCUAACUACGUG